rnacentral:rRNA from 1 species
GCCUGGCCCUAAAUCUUGAUGCUUUCCCCUACCUAAGCAUCCGCCCGGGAACUACGAGCACAAACGCUUAAAACUCUAAGGACUUGGCGGUGCCUCAAACCCACCUAGAGGAGCCUGUUCUGUAAUCGAUGAUCCACGAUAUUACCUGACCAUUCCUUGCUCAAUCAGCCUACAUACCGCCGUCGCCAGCCCACCCCCCCUGAAGGCUAAACAGUGAGCGCAAUAGUCACAUGACACUAGUAAGACAGGUCAAGGUAUAGCCCAUGGAAUGGAAGCAAUGGGCUACAUUUUCUAGACUAGAACAUCACGGCAAAGGGGCAUGAAACUGCCCCUAGAAGGCGGAUUUAGCAGUAAAGUGGGACAAUCGAGCCCUCUUUAAGCCGGCUCUGGGGCACGU